AUUAGGAUGUAGCCAACCAGGACUUGAACGCCAGCCCUCCCUGCUCCUCCACCCGUGCCACCUCCCCCCGCCAACACUUGCUAGAGCGAGGGACGCUCCCACACCCGUGCUUCCUCCAAGUUCCAGACGCAGUGAUGGGGGCGCGUGGACAUUCUGUGUGGCGAGAUGGUGCUGGCCGAAGUGUCACGGGUAAUCACAGUGUGCGAAGCUGACAAGAGUCUGGGUGGGAGCCGGGUGACCCAGACUGGGACGGUCCACCCCGGAAGAGCGCCAGUCAUCCCAGACCCUGGAGCCCCAGAAGCAGGGUGUCGCUGCCAGAUCCCACCAGGCCUCUGCCUCGCCUGCUUUCCAAACCAGAUUCUCUCCACCCAUAUUAGCCCCAAGGCAAAAUACCUUGGGCACUGUGCUCCAUCACCAGAACCUCCCAGUUCAAGUUCUGCUUUUCCACAACCAGAGUCAUGAACUUAGAAGGAAUCUCCUCAAGCAGGUUCAGCUACAGAAUUAAAUCCAUCCACUGAACAAAACAAGUGGUGACAGGUUCACGCACCUUUGGCAAAAGUCAUCCUGAGGGAAACUUAUUGGUAACCCAAAAUCUUCCUUUCCGGGAUGAGGGACUGGUUUCCAUUCUUUCAGUCUACAGCUCUGUUUUCUCCUUUUCACUUCAUUACACUGCCUCUGAGACAUGCCAGCCUUGUUGUUUUUAAAUAAAGUGAAUGAAAAUAGAUUUGAUUGGGGAAUUUUAGAGUCUCUUGAAAUCAAAGAGGGCCUCCUGGGGUAACCUGAACCAGACUGGGUCUCCACAAAGAAGAGACUCUGGUGUCAGAAGAACCAGAUUUAUCUGAUUUCCAGCUGCAGGGCCUUGGAUGAGGCAUUCAACCUCCCUGAAGCCUCAGUCUCCUCAUCUGUAAAAUGGGGUUAAUGCUACCUAGCUGACUGAGGGGUUAGUAACAAUUAAUGUGAUAAAUAUAGUUCCUUAGAACACAGGCAUACAAUAAAUGGUAGAUUUAAUCUAAAAUACGAACAUUAGAGGACUAAGUGUCACAUCCUAGGAAAACCCUCAUAGAGAAAAGUUUAUUGCUGAGACAUUUUCUCUAGCUUAGGUCACCAAAGGAUUAAAUUAACACAUGCAAGAGGGUAGAGCUCAGCAUAACAGACAGGUGAAAAGAAAGGUGGAGAACAAGUCAAUAGAGAGGAACAUUCCACAUGAAAUUACACCUUUGGAAUCCAAAGACAAGGGCUGGGUUUUCGAGCUUCAGUCAUUGCUGAGGAGCAGUGAGCUGGAGAGUACAUGGUGGGGUCUUCUUGCGCAAGGACCCAAGCUGUGACAGGAGAAAGGCCACUUCCCUCUUCUCUGGACGGGCCUGCUGAGCACCAGGGAAGGAAGUGAGCCCAAACACUGGGUCUCCUGCCGCAGAUGUGUGACUCUGGGCUGGAGGCAUGGGAAAAGUUUCUAGAAUCCUGGAGCCUGAGCGGAAGGCAAUGCUUGAAGUCUUCUUGUGCAGCACUUUGGAGCUAACUGUGACACCAGGAUCCCUGGAAUCUUCUCAAAAUCACAAGGAAGACAACCAGCUUACAAGGACAAAAUGAUACACCUUUGCCACCACAAAUGUCAGACAGAAAUCUGUCUGAUUCAGAGGGGUGAAACACACCAAGUUCAUUGUUAAAAGUCAGAAUGAGGUAUAUACAUUUCCCAAAACAUGUGAUUGAACUAAACCAAAGUCAUUUUUCCCCCCUAGGUCUUAAAUCAGUUAUAAGUGAGUUUAAGUACAAAAAAUGCAAAGAUGUGUAUCUGUCCUAGUGAGUCAGGACAGAAUCAGUUUCAUGAAACUGAAUGAGGU